GUGGAGCUGUCAAGCAGGCGGAAGCAGCAGAUGACGAUUAGGAGACCAACAGCAUACACCUUUUUAGAGUGAAGUUGCGAAUUAGAAUUAUAUUACAAUAGAUCAGUGAAUUACAAUUAAAGAUAUAUGAAAAUUUUCUUAUUGAAUAAAAUUUGUCGUUAAAUAGAAUUAGAGAUUAAAAAAUAGGAUUGAGUACGAAUACAGAUUACCGCCAGGUGGAGAAAAGGCAGAAUUUGCUUGUAUUACUGUAGGAAAGACCGUUUAUCUAAAAGCUGCAUUCGCUAAAAAACUGCGUGCUGCUAAAAAGAAUUCGGUUCCUCAUACAACUCCGCUAUUUCGGAACAAUCUUUUAGAUAAACGCUCGAUCAUGGAUAGCACAGCUGCCGAUAACGAAAUAACAAAUACACCCAAUGCGGACUUAUCGAGCUGCGUGAAUUGCGACCGCCCGGACAGCGAUGAUAACUUCGUCCAGUGCGACACAUGUGAUGCAUGGUGGCAUCUAUCUUGUGCUGGAGUUACGCCUUCUAUAGCCGAUCGACAAUGGAGCUGUCGUUUGUGUGUGCACGAUGUAUCAUCUAUACGCACUGUGUCAUCCGUGGCAAGAUCGACUCGCCUUGCGUUGCAGGUCCAGAAGCUGAACGAGCAGCGUGAAGUGGAGCGAAAAUACAUCGAAGAAAAAUACAAGCUUAUUGAGGCUGAACUGGAUGCGUCUGAGGAGAACGAUAGUGUCCGGACACGAGCAAGUUAACGGGCCAACAAUGAUAAGGUGAGGAAGUGGAUCGACGAGAACGCAGGUCAAGCUGAAGGCGCAGUAGGCCACACUGAGGACAACAAAGCCGCCUCCUCGACGCUGCCCCCCGCACCACUCGACCCUAUCGAAGUUGCUGCUGCCGAUAUGAUUGCUCCCGCAUCCAGUCCAUUGAGACAUCCAUCGAUACUGUCUCAGCUUAGGCAGUCGAUUGGGGCAAAGAAGCACCCAACUAACUUGCAAUCAUCUUUACAGUUUAAUAAAGAAUUUGCUGCUGUACACACCGAUAAUGCAGCAGUUUUGUUCGCCAAAUUUCAGCAACAACUGAUGAACCCAAGUAGUUCAUCCAUGCUGGCAACAACCGCUAACCAAUCGAGGGAAAGUACUAUUU